AUGAAGAUGCGCGCCAGUGCCACUCCCAUGCUGACUCUCACAGUUCCAACCUCUCUUUCUCCUUCGCUCCUUUUCUUCCACCGAAGAAAGCCCUCUUUUCUCUUCUCCAACCCUAAGCCCUUUCUCUUUCUUCUUCACCACUCUUCUACUGUUUCAUCUUCUUCUUCUUCUUCUUCCUUCCGACUCCGUUGUUCCUCCUCCACUUCCCAUUCCCAAUCUAUAUCGGAAUCAGAAUCGGAGGAUGGUGUUUGCAUAGAGAUCAAGAAACUUCCCAACAACUCACGCAGAAUACUCUCCUCCGUCGCCAUUAACGCUUCUCUCCUAGCUGUGUGGAAUGUCCUGACUGAUUACGAAGGAUUGGCCGAUUUCAUUCCCGGUCUUGCUAUUAGCCAGUUGCUUGAUAGGGGCCCUGAUUAUGCACGACUCUUUCAGGUGGGUGAGCAGAACUUGGCCCUUGGCCUUAAAUUCAAUGCUAAAGGGGUUGUUGACUGUUAUGAGAAGCCACUUGAAAUCCUUCCCUCUGCCCAGAAGCGUGAGAUUGAGUUUAACAUGGUAGACGGAGACUUCCAGCUCUUCCAAGGAAAAUGGUCAAUUCUACAACAUGAUAGUGGAGGAGAGGACCAAGAAAUGAAUACAACUCUUUCAUAUUUGGUUGAUGUACAGCCAAAGCUUUGGUUGCCUGUACAGCUUGUUGAGGGAAGACUUUCCAAUGAGAUAAAGGUGAACCUUGCCUGCAUCAGAGAAGAAGCAGAGAAAGCAUUUAGCAAUACUAUGCGCUCUCUUUGAUGUCAUCUUAAAUUGUUUUCUAUUCCCUCGAUCACUAUUGUUUACUGAAUUCUAAAAUCAGUAACAAAAUUAUAAUGUGCAUCUUUCUCAAGUAUGUUAGCUGAGUCCAUAUAUUAUCCUGCUUGCAAUGAAGCUCCAAUUGGGUUUCAGCUUAUGUUGCUCAUUUCCUUUCAAGAAGGGCGUGCUCAUAGUUUGUUAUUGUAAUGUCCUUAAGUUGAGUUGUGGAGGAGUGAAAGUGGUGUCAGCUGCAGACUGCAACGGCUCCGCAUUCUCAGGAUGCCUUAGUGUUCAUAUAACCGAGAGAAGCGAAAAGGAGGGAAGUAUUUGGAGGUCAUCUGGAUAAAUUACUACUUCAUAUUUGCAUUCUUUUAGGUAGUUUUUUUCUUUCUUUUUCUUUCAUUUCUCCUCGAAAUUGUAAUUAUUUUUUUGGUACGAGUAAAUCAAUCAUCUUUAGAAAUAAAAGUCCCAAUGCUCUCAUCUCAUCUAGUA